rnacentral:rRNA from 1 species
CCUACGGGGGGCUGCAGUGGGGAAUAUUGGACAAUGGGCGAAAGCCUGAUCCAGCCAUGCCGCGUGUGUGAAGAAGGCCUUCGGGUUGUAAAGCACUUUCAGUGGGGAAGAAAGCCUUGGGGCUAAUACCCUCGAGGAAGGACAUCACCCACAGAAGAAGCACCGGCUAACUCCGUGCCAGCAGCCGCGGUAAUACGGAGGGUGCGAGCGUUAAUCGGAAUUACUGGGCGUAAAGCGCGCGUAGGCGGUCUGAUAAGCCGGUUGUGAAAGCCCCGGGCUCAACCUGGGAACGGCAUCCGGAACUGGCAGGCUAGAGUGCAGGAGAGGAAGGUAGAAUUCCCGGUGUAGCGGUGAAAUGCGUAGAGAUCGGGAGGAAUACCAGUGGCGAAGGCGGCCUUCUGGACUUACACUGACGCUGAGGUGCGAAAGCGUGGGUAGCAAACAGGAUUAGAUACCCGAGUAGUC